rnacentral:rRNA from 1 species
AAGUACGGAAGAGAUAACCGCUGAAGGCAUCUAAGCGGGAAACUCGUCUGAAGAUAAGGUAUCCCGGGGACUUGAUCCCCCUGAAGGGUCGUUCGAGACCAGGACGUUGAUAGGUCGGGUGUGGAAGUGCAGUAAUGCGUUAAGCUAACCGAUACUAAUUGCCCGUGAGGCUUGAUCCUAUAACACUGAUGGUUAUG